rnacentral:rRNA from 13 species
GAUGAGUUCUCCCUGAGACUUAGAGUCUCCUGAAGGAACGUUGAAGACGACGACGUUGAUAGGCCGGGUGUGUAAGCGCAGCGAUGCGUUGAGCUAACCGGUACUAAUGAACCGUGAGGCUUAACCUUACAACGCCGAAG